rnacentral:lncRNA from 10 species
UUUUAAGAGAUGGGGUCUUGCUGUGUUGCCCACACUUGUCUUGAGCUCAAGCAAUCCUCCCACUUUGGCCUCCCAAAAUGGAAUGAUUACAGGCCUGAGCCACUGCACCUAGUCCCUUCAGAAUUCUGAGGGCAGUUCUUCCAUGAUUUUUCUUAGCCAUUUCUGUUGGGAUGUAUUUUUUUCUUGUGAGAUUGUCCUUUUCUCUUCCACAUCCUAGGGUUUCUUUUAUCCACCGUGCUGUGCGCUUGAUGGCCUCUUUCCGUCUUGGAAACUCGUGACUUUCAAACUCAGAUGUCAGACCUGGAGUGUCCUCGUAACCUUUUUCUUUUCCUGGUUUGUUAUCUUUGAGCUUUUGAUUUUGUCUGAUGCUUUUCAUCUUCAGGAGCUCUUUUCCACUCUCCCCACUGUGGGCCUUCAGGGUCAGUUCUGAGUCACAGCGCUUUCUCUGAGUCCCAAGCCAUAGCAUGGGUCAUUAGGAGGCUUCUGUCCACAUCAUGUUUCUUUUGGUGUCUUGUUCCUCUAGUGUCAGGAGUCCUUGGCUCAUGCUUAAAAGUUGAAGUUGGAAGCAGUUCCCUAGGAGGGUCACACCAUGUAGCGAGUCCAUCUUGUACCUUUCUGACACUAGGUGAGUGCAGGAAUUGGGUUUAGAAACAAAGCUUGUAGCAGUUGG